rnacentral:rRNA from 1 species
UACGUAGGUGACAAGCGUUGUUCGGAUUCAUUGGGCGUAAAGGGUCCGCAGGUGGUUUUGCAAGUCUGACGUGAAAUACCGGAGCUCAACUCCGGAAUUGCGUUGGAGACUGCAGGACUGGAGUACCGGAGAGGAAAUUGGAAUUUCAGGUGUAGCGGUGGAAUGCGUAGAUAUCUGAAAGAACAUCGAAAGCGAAGGCAGAUUUCUGGACGGUUACUGACGCUCAGGGACGAAAGCAUGGGGAGCAAAC